ensembl:lncRNA
UGGAAGGAGAGUGAGGGGAGAAGCCGUGCGGGCCGCUGGGGCACCGCGAGGAACGGGACAGGGCGCCGAGGAGUGACAGAGGGACGGGGAGCAGAGGGAUACCGCGGACGCUGCCCAGGCUGAACCUGCCCCGGGCGCCCGAGCCGCGUUGGCACCGAGUGUGCCCCCAGCAGGAGGCGCGGAAGAGCAGACCCCGCACGGCCCGCCCGCCGCCCCUCGUCCACCCGGACACCCUCUCAGGCCGCCCCACCGUGCCCCCGAGCCCGAGGCCUGGCGACGUCAGAGGCCUGUGACGCGCGCGCUCACGGUGGCGCGGGCGGAGGCGGCGGGGCGCGGGCUCCCUCGGGGAGGUCCCUGUCCAGGCCGCCCGCAGCCGCUGCGUCCUUGGCCCGCCUCCAGGGGAACCUGGGUUUUCCGAAUUCGGGAAGGCUGGCUGUCCUCCGGCUACUGAUAAGGACGGGCUCGAAGGGACACGGGGCGGAGAGAUUAGGUCACUCGCCCCAGGGCACACAGCUAGUUGACCUCUGUGCCAGAAUUCCAACGCAUGUUAUCUUCCUGGCCGCCCAUUAAGCUGCAAAUGACAGAAAACCCCAAUGUUUGAGUAGCAGCGGCUUACGCAUGUUAAUUUCCCUACCUGGUAAGUGACUUCAGAGGAAGACAGCCCAGGCUGGAACCACAGCCUGCGCCCAUUAGAGACCAGAAUCUUCUCACCUGGUGUUCUCCAUCCUCAGCCUGGCCCCUGCCUCGUGGCCCAAAGUGGCUGCUCAUAUCCACACUCAGAAAGCUGAAGGAGGAAGAAACAAAGAAGAGGGCAGCUUCUCUUUCAGCACACACUCCUCACAGUCCUACGUUGGAACCUGCCUACAGUGUGGCAGUGGUAAGAGGUGGGCUUUUAGGAGGUGAUUGCCUCACCAGGUAGUCCCCUCAUGAAUGGGAUUAGUGACCUUAUAAAAGAUGUGUGAAGGGGGCUGGGGAUUUAGCUCAAUGGUGCCACCGCCUGCUCCCAAGCGCAAAGUCCCAAGUUUGAUCCCCAGUACAGAAAAAAAAAAAAAAGAUGUGUGAAGGAGCUCUUGUCCCUCCUAUGAUGUGACAUGCAGCAAGAAAGGGUCCUCUUAGAAGCAAGACACUGGAUCUGCUGGUGCCUUUGGACUUCCUGGUCUCCAGAACCAUGAGUAGUACAUUUCUAUUGUUUAUUGUUUACUCAGACUGAGGUCAUUUUGUUACAGCAGCAGAAACAGCCCAAGACAGACACUUCCUGCAAUUCACAUGCAUCACUUCCACUUGCACCCCACUGGCCAGAACUAAGCCCUGUGGCCAUUGGGAAAUGUGACAUCUGUCUGAGUAGGAGCUCUAGUCCUAUAGCAAAAGAGAACAGAUAUUGGGGGACAGCUGGUAUCUCUGCCACAUAUCACAAACAUCUUUCCCGUAUACAUACAUUUGGGUUUGUUUGUUUGGUUGGUUGGUUGGUUUGGUUUUUUUGAGACAGGGUCUUGCUAUGUAGUUCAGUCUGGCUUUGAACUCACUAUGUAGUCCAGGCUGGCCUCGAACUCAUGGUGAUCCUCCUGCCUCAGCCUCCCGAGUGCUAGGAUUAUAGGCAUGUGAUACCACAGCCGGUUUAUCCAGUGUAUAUAAUUUUGUACCCUACUUUUUCCCCUUAUUUUUGGUGAAUAUUUCCCCAUAUUAUUAAAUAUCCUUAGAAAUUCUUAAAUUUUGGUGACUGCUUAAUAUUCCAUAGUAUGCAUGUAGUAUCCCUUAUAGAUACCAUGACUUAUUUAUUACUUGAUAUUUUGUUUUUUGUAGUGCUGGAGAUCAAACCCAUGAUUUCACACAAUUGCUUGAUAUCUGGGUAUUUCGUGUUGAUAAAUAAUCCUUUUUUAUGUUUAAAACUUGUCAGAGGAGCCAAUCAUGGGGGGCACACACAUAAUCCUAGCACUCUGGGAGACUGAAGCAGGAGGAUUGAAAUUGAGCCUAGUCUGGGCAACUUGGUAAUUAAGCAAGUCCCUGUCAUAAAAUAAAAGAUGAGAAAAGGAUGGGGAAGUAGCUCAGUGUGAAGGGCCUGGGUUCCAUCCCAAGUUCAAAUAAACCAAAAGAAAAUUCUCAAGAGGAGGAGACCCAAGCUUGCCUCUCUAUGCUGCGUGAGCCCACCAAAGCUAUUUCGUUCAGGCAUCCAGACGAUAUCUGUCUUAAAAGCUGCCUGAGGGGCUGAGUUUGUUCUUACUAACAAAAUGCAG